GGUCCCGCCUGCCCAGUGACUCUUUAAACGGCCGCGGUAUCCUAACCGUGCAAAGGUAGCAUAAUCACUUGUCCUCUAAAUAAGGACUGGAAUGAAUGGCUAAAUGAGGACUAAACUGUCUCUUACAGCUCAGCCAAUGAAAUUGAUUUUUCAGUUCAAAAGCUGAAAUAAACUCACAAGACGAGAAGACCCUGUGGAGCUUUAAACCAGACCCACCUUAAUGUCCCCCUGUGUUUUUAGUUGGGGCGACUUCGGAGCAUAAAAAAACCUCCGAAACACACCACAUUUAAGAUCAACACAUCAAAAAUACUUAUAUGAGACCCAGCAACUAAUCUGUUGUCUGACCAAUGAACCAAGUUACCCCAGGGAUAACAGCGCCAUCCCCUUCUAGAGUCCUUAUCAACAAGGGGGUUUACGACCUCGAUGUUGGAUCAGGACACCCCAACGGUGCAGCCGCCAUUAAAGGUUCGUUUGUUCAACGAUUAAAGUCCUA
rnacentral:rRNA from 1 species